rnacentral:rRNA from 1 species
AGUGGGGAAUAUUGCACAAUGGGGGAAACCCUGAUGCAGCAACGCCGCGUGGAGGAUGACGCAUUUCGGUGUGUAAACUCCUUUUCUGUCGGAAGAUAAUGACGGUAUGACAGGAAUAAGCACCGGCUAACUCCGUGCCAGCAGCCGCGGUAAUACGGAGGGUGCAAGCGUUACUCGGAAUCACUGGGCGUAAAGGACGCGUAGGCGGCUUCGUAAGUCAGGUGUGAAAGCCCACGGCUCAACCGUGGAACUGCACUUGAAACUGCGAGGCUAGAGUCUGGGAGAGGCAGAUGGAAUUGGUGGUGUAGGGGUAAAAUCCGUAGAGAUCACCAGGAAUACCGAUGGCGAAGGCGAUCUGCUGGAACAGUACUGACGCUGAGGCGUGAAAGCGUGGGGAGCAAACAGGAUUAGAUACCCUGGUAGUCCACGCCCUAAACGAUGAAUGCUAGUCGUUGGGAUGCUUGUCAUCCCAGUGAUGCAGCUAACGCAAUAAGCAUUCCGCCUGGGGAGUACGGUCGCAAGAUUAAAACUCAAAGGAAUAGACGGGGACCCGCACAAGCGGUGGAGCAUGUGGUUUAAUUCGAAGAUACGCGAAGAACCUUACCUGGGCUUGACAUCCCGAGAAUCCUCCAGAGAUGGGGGAGUGCUACUUCGGUAGAACUCGGUGACAGGUGCUGCACGGCUGUCGUCAGCUCGUGUCGUGAGAUGUUGGGUUAAGUCCCGCAACGAGCGCAACCCUCGUCCUUAGUUGCCAGCACUUUGGGUGGGCACUCUAAGGAGACUGCCUGGGUAACCAGGAGGAAGGUGAGGACGACGUCAAGUCAUCAUGGCCCUUAUGUCCAGGGCGACACACGUGCUACAAUGGCGUGUACAAUGAGAGGCGAUACCGCGAGGUGGAGCAAAUCUAUAAAACACGUCCCAGUUCGGAUUGCAGUCUGCAACUCGACUGCAUGAAGUUGGAAUCGCUAGUAAUCGUGAAUCAGCCAUGUCACGGUGAAUACGU